UCACAGGACCCUGGAACCACUAGCCUCACAGGACGCUGGACUCAUUGGCCAACAGUCACUAGCCCUCGACCCACUAGCCCUCACAGGACCCUGGAACCACUGGCCAACAUGAGUCUCCUCCGCUCCACCCCACGCCCUUACCAGCAGCCGCCACCAGGGGGCAGUGAGGGUCCAACCCAGAGCCAACGUCUUUGGGGAAAUCUCACGGGAACUGGACAUGCCAAUAAUGCCGGAGGCACAGUAAACAGUUUUGCAGUUAUUAUUAUUGCAAAGGGAUAUCGUUUGUAUUAUUGUUUGUUUGGUUUUCCUUGUCUUUUUCGUUGUUGAUUAAUCUUUGGUUGUAACCUCAUUCUAUUGAGUCUCUUUGCUUUUUGGAGAGUGAAUCAAAUAUUUGAAUAUUUGAUAAUUAAUUUAACUCAAAUAUUGUCGACCGGACGUCUUGAGCAUCCACACAAAAAAAGUGGUAAGGUGUUUUUUUCACUGAACUAAAUUUAAUGCUGUAUUUAACUCUGUAUCAAACAGUUUGCUUGUAUAUCCUGAAUAACAUUUAUACAUAUAUGAUACGUGAACCCCAGUUUCCUCAUGAGUGGCUAUUAUGUACAGACGACUUAUUGAAGACAGUUCUGGAAAGGAUUGAAUCUUACUCUAAUGCGCGAACACGCACACACACAUACACACACACACACACACACACACACACACACACACACACACACACACACACACACACACACACACACACACACACACACACACACACUGUCUCUCAAACACAGACACACACACUGUCUCACACACACAUUCUACAACACACACACACAUACUGUCUCAAACACGCAUACUCUCUCUCACACACACGCACAUUCUCACACAAACAAACACACAUUCUCUCACACAUAAACACACACUGUCUAACACACACACACAUUCUCUCACAGACACACACACACAAGUACACACAAACAGAAGCACCCCCCCCCCCCCCCCCCCGCACAAACACACACACACAUACACACACUAUUAUACUCCUUUUACAUGUAUGUAUGUAUGUAUGA
rnacentral:lncRNA from 1 species